CAUUAGCAUUCACUGGUUUUGCUUAUAAAUAUGAUUCCAAUAUAAUAAUAAAUAAUUACGAUGUAUAUUACUGUUACAAUAAAUUAGCAAAAUAUGGAUAUGAAAUUACACUCUUUACUUAAGUUUGCGAUCUUCUUUACCAUUCUCCUCACCGCCACUGCUGUUGAUAUGUCUGGAACCUCAGGGGUGAAUAAAGCAAUGGCACUAGGGAGUUUUCCUCUAUAUAUUUCAAUGAUGCAAUUGAAAUUGCUUCCAAAUGAAUUUGAACCAACUUGUUCAAGAAGCUGCAGUUCAGAUGCAGAAUGUUCUGAUGGUUGGGUGUGUAGGUGGUGUUGGUGGCAUUUGGAUCCAUUUGAUAAUCAAUAUUAUUAUCGAUGUAGCAUGUUACCAAAUUAAAGAAUAUUAUUACAGAGUUUUAAAAAAAUAGUGUUGCAUAAAGUGAAACUGCGCGAGGGAGUAUUAACACUUGAAUAAAUUUUUUAUGUAUAUAAUACUAGUGUGCUUGUAAUCUUAUCGAUGUGUCAUUGAGUAAACUUUUUAUAAAUAGUAGAAGUAUUCGUGUGCUUGUAAUGUUGUAAAAGUAUCAUGUAUGAAUAAACUUUCUCUAUAUAUA